ACGCUGGCGGAAUGCUUAACACAUGCAAGUCGGGCGGUAACACUUCGGGUGACGAGCGGCGGACGGGUGCGUAACGCGUGAGAAUCUACCUUUUAGUGGGGGACAACCCGAGGAAACUCGGGCUAAUACCGCAUAUGUCCUACGGGAUAAAGCAGGGGACCUUCGGGCCUUGCGCUAAAAGAUGAGCUCGCGUUAGAUUAGCUUGUUGGUAGGGUAAAAGCCUACCAAGGCAACGAUCUAUAGCUGGUCUGAGAGGAUGAUCAGCCACACUGGGACUGAGACACGGCCCAGACUCCUACGGGAGGCAGCAGUGGGGAAUAUUGGACAAUGGGGGCAACCCUGAUCCAGCAAUUCCGCGUGUGUGAAGAAGGCCCGAGGGUUGUAAAGCACUUUCAGUAGCCAAAAUGGGAUUUUAUACUAAUAUUAUAAGAUCUUGAUAUUAACUACAGAAGAAGCACCG
rnacentral:rRNA from 1 species